rnacentral:rRNA from 1 species
AUGAAGGAUGAAGCUAAUGAGGUUGUGGAGGCGAUUGCCAAGAAGAUUGUCCAAGACAUGCCCUAUGAGGCGCGCGUUGAUGCUGUGGUGAAGUAUUUCGCGCAUGAACGCAAAAUGCUUCUCAAAAAGUCUCUAGCCCGGAGAGUGCAUCUCACCCGUUCCAUGUACAUGAAGGCGGUUCCCUCGUGGUGCAACAACAAUGUUCCUUGCUACCAGCAAAUCAUAUCCAAAUGGAUAGACCCGGAGUGGAGGGCCCAACAUCGAAUGGCUUCGGAGCGGCGUGCCUUGAUGGGUGGUCCGGUACACCUUCAAGGCAACCUCAACCUCCACGCUUACGUGCAGAAGAAGAAUAGGGAGAGAGGUGAGGGCCAAGAGAAGCUCAAUACCUUCACGGGAUUAUGCCUCUCCCACAAGUCAAAGAAACCGGAAGGGGGGUGGGUCAACCCAGGCGCUGGCUUGAGGAUUGAUGCAUACAGUGGGAAGUUCAAGGAGCACAACGGGCCUGACUCUGAUCCGGCCUCACAGGACAUUGACGCUACAAUUUCCCUCCAGUCGGGAGAUGGCAAGAAGGGUGGUCGGUUAUAUGUUGGCGAUGGUGCCAUCCGUAAGAAGGACAUCCCAAAACUCUCUCACCUCCGUGCUACCAUGUCGAGCUCAGGUCCUGCUAUAGAGCGUCGCCCACAGCCUGGGCUGCACAUGCUCCAUCAACUCGAGGCCAAUGCCAGGCUUCGAGAGGAGGAAGCCAUGAAAAUGCAUCAGGCCCUGUUUCAACAACAAGAAUUCAUGGUUAAACAACAGGCAAUCCUUCAGGAGACAUUUGCUCAACUCAGAAAUAAUAUGCAGGGUUCCACUUUGCCCGUUCUUCCUCCUCUUCCGACUCUUCCUAAUUUCAACUUUUUUUCUCAGUCGGGACAAGGCUCCAAUAACUAUGUGGUAGGUGGAUCUUCACCUGGCCAAGCAAGUCCAGUGACACCCACUACGGUUCAUGUCGCUUCGACCUCCCCGCAACAAUGA